UACGGAGGAUGCAAGCGUUAUCCGGAUUCACUGGGUUUAAAGGGUGCGCAGGCGGACAUUUAAGUCAGGGGUGAAAUCCUACAGCUUAACUGUAGAACUGCCCUUGAUACUGAAUGCCUAGAGUAAAGCUGAAGUGGGCGGAAUGUGUUGUGUAGCGGUGAAAUGCUUAGAUAUAACACAGAACACCAAUCGCGAAGGCAGCUCACUAAACUUUAACUGACGCUCAUGCACGAAAGCGUGGGGAGCAAACAGGAUUAGAUACC
rnacentral:rRNA from 1 species